rnacentral:rRNA from 1 species
CCUACGGGAGGCAGCAGUAGGGAAUCUUCCACAAUGGACGAAAGUCUGAUGGAGCAACGCCGCGUGAGUGAAGAAGGGUUUCUGCUCGUAAAGCUCUGUUGGUAGUGAAGAAAGAUAGAGGUAGUAACUGUCCUUUAUUUGACGGUAAUUACUUAGAAAGUCACGGCUAACUACGUGCCAGCAGCCGCGGUAAUACGUAGGUGGCAAGCGUUGUCCGGUUUUAUUGGGCGGAAAGCGAGUGCAGGCGGUUCAAUAAGUCUGAUGUGAAAGCCUUCGGCUCAACCGGAGAAUUGCAUCAGAAACUGUUGAACUAGAGUGCAGAAGAGGAGAGUGGAAGUCCAUGUGUAGCGGUGAAAUCCGUAGAUAUCUGGAGGAACAUCAGUGGCGAAGGCGACUAUCUGGCACAUAACUGACGCUGAGGAGCGAAAGCGUGGGUAGCAAACAGGAUUAGAUACCCUGGUAGUC